rnacentral:rRNA from 1 species
UUAAGCGACUAAGCGUACACGGUGGAUGCCCUGGCAGUCAGAGGCGAUGAAGGACGUGCUAAUCUGCGAUAAGCGUCGGUAAGGUGAUAUGAACCGUUAUAACCGGCGAUUUCCGAAUGGGGAAACCCAGUGUGAUUCGUCACACUAUCAUUAACUGAAUCCAUAGGUUAAUGAGGCGAACCGGGGGAACUGAAACAUCUAAGUACCCCGAGGAAAAGAAAUCAACCGAGAUUCCCCCAGUAGCGGCGAGCGAACGGGGAGCAGCCCAGAGCCUGAAUCAGUGUGUGUGUUAGUGGAAGCGUCUGGAAAGGCGCGCGAUACAGGGUGACAGCCCGUACACAAAAAUGCACAUACUGUGAGCUCGAUGAGUAGGGCGGGACACGUGGUAUCCUGUCUGAAUAUGGGGGACCAUCCUCCAAGGCUAAAUACUCCUGACUGACCGAUAGUGAACCAGUACCGUGAGGGAAAGGCGAAAAGAACCCCGGCGAGGGAGUGAAAAGAACCUGAAACCGUGUACGUACAAGCAGUGGGAGCCUCUUAAUGGGGUGACUGCGUACCUUUUGUAUAAUGGGUCAGCGACUUAUAUUCUGUAGCAAGGUUAACCGAAUAGGGGAGCCGAAGGGAAACCGAGUCUUAACUGGGCGUUAAGUUGCAGGGUAUAGACCCGAAACCCGGUGAUCUAGCCAUGGGCAGGUUGAAGGUUGGGUAACACUAACUGGAGGACCGAACCGACUAAUGUUGAAAAAUUAGCGGAUGACUUGUGGCUGGGGUGAAAGGCCAAUCAAACCGGGAGAUAGCUGGUUCUCCCGAAAGCUAUUUAGGUAGCGCCUCGUGAAUUCAUCUCCGGGGGUAGAGCACUGUUUCGGCAAGGGGGUCAUCCCGACUUACCAACCCGAUGCAAACUGCGAAUACCGGAGAAUGUUAUCACGGGAGACACACGGCGGGUGCUAACGUCCGUCGUGAAGAGGGAAACAACCCAGACCGCCAGCUAAGGUCCCAAAGUCAUGGUUAAGUGGGAAACGAUGUGGGAAGGCCCAGACAGCCAGGAUGUUGGCUUAGAAGCAGCCAUCAUUUAAAGAAAGCGUAAUAGCUCACUGGUCGAGUCGGCCUGCGCGGAAGAUGUAACGGGGCUAAACCAUGCACCGAAGCUGCGGCAGCGACGCUUAUGCGUUGUUGGGUAGGGGAGCGUUCUGUAAGCCUGCGAAGGUGUGCUGUGAGGCAUGCUGGAGGUAUCAGAAGUGCGAAUGCUGACAUAAGUAACGAUAAAGCGGGUGAAAAGCCCGCUCGCCGGAAGACCAAGGGUUCCUGUCCAACGUUAAUCGGGGCAGGGUGAGUCGACCCCUAAGGCGAGGCCGAAAGGCGUAGUCGAUGGGAAACAGGUUAAUAUUCCUGUACUUGGUGUUACUGCGAAGGGGGGACGGAGAAGGCUAUGUUGGCCGGGCGACGGUUGUCCCGGUUUAAGCGUGUAGGCUGGUUUUCCAGGCAAAUCCGGAAAAUCAAGGCUGAGGCGUGAUGACGAGGCACUACGGUGCUGAAGCAACAAAUGCCCUGCUUCCAGGAAAAGCCUCUAAGCAUCAGGUAACAUCAAAUCGUACCCCAAACCGACACAGGUGGUCAGGUAGAGAAUACCAAGGCGCUUGAGAGAACUCGGGUGAAGGAACUAGGCAAAAUGGUGCCGUAACUUCGGGAGAAGGCACGCUGAUAUGUAGGUGAAGUCCCUUGCGGAUGGAGCUGAAAUCAGUCGAAGAUACCAGCUGGCUGCAACUGUUUAUUAAAAACACAGCACUGUGCAAACACGAAAGUGGACGUAUACGGUGUGACGCCUGCCCGGUGCCGGAAGGUUAAUUGAUGGGGUUAGCGGUAACGCGAAGCUCUUGAUCGAAGCCCGGUAAACGGCGGCCGUAACUAUAACGGUCCUAAGGUAGCGAAAUUCCUUGUCGGGUAAGUUCCGACCUGCACGAAUGGCGUAAUGAUGGCGGGCUGUCUCCACCCGAGACUCAGUGAAAUUGAACUCGCUGUGAAGAUGCAGUGUACCCGCGGCAAGACGGAAAGACCCCGUGAACCUUUACUAUAGCUUGACACUGAACAUUGAGCCUUGAUGUGUAGGAUAGGUGGGAGGCUUUGAAGUGUGGACGCCAGUCUGCAUGGAGCCGACCUUGAAAUACCACCCUUUAAUGUUUGAUGUUCUAACGUUGGCCCCUAAUCGGGGUUGCGGACAGUGUCUGGUGGGUAGUUUGACUGGGGCGGUCUCCUCCUAAAGAGUAACGGAGGAGCACGAAGGUUGGCUAAUCCUGGUCGGACAUCAGGAGGUUAGUGCAAUGGCAUAAGCCAGCUUGACUGCGAGCGUGACGGCGCGAGCAGGUGCGAAAGCAGGUCAUAGUGAUCCGGUGGUUCUGAAUGGAAGGGCCAUCGCUCAACGGAUAAAAGGUACUCCGGGGAUAACAGGCUGAUACCGCCCAAGAGUUCAUAUCGACGGCGGUGUUUGGCACCUCGAUGUCGGCUCAUCACAUCCUGGGGCUGAAGUAGGUCCCAAGGGUAUGGCUGUUCGCCAUUUAAAGUGGUACGCGAGCUGGGUUUAGAACGUCGUGAGACAGUUCGGUCCCUAUCUGCCGUGGGCGCUGGAGAACUGAGGGGGGCUGCUCCUAGUACGAGAGGACCGGAGUGGACGCAUCACUGGUGUUCGGGUUGUCAUGCCAAUGGCACUGCCCGGUAGCUAAAUGCGGAAGAGAUAAGUGCUGAAAGCAUCUAAGCACGAAACUUGCCCCGAGAUGAGUUCUCCCUGACUCCCUGAGAGUCCUGAAGGAACGUUGAAGACGACGACGUUGAUAGGCCGGGUGUGUAAGCGCAGCGAUGCGUUGAGCUAACCGGUACUAAUGAACCGUGAGGCUUAACCU